rnacentral:rRNA from 1 species
UACGUAGGGGGCAAGCGUUGUCCGGAUUUACUGGGCGUAAAGAGCGUGUAGGCGGCCAUACAGGUCCGUUGUGAAAACUGGAGGCUCAACUUCCAGACGUCGACGGAAACCGUGUGGCUAGAGUCCGGAAGAGGAGAGUGGAAUUCCUGGUGUAGCGGUGAAAUGCGCAGAUAUCAGGAAGAACACCAACGGCGAAGGCAGCUCUCUGGGACGGUACUGACGCUGAGACGCGAAAGCGUGGGGAGCGAACAGG